rnacentral:lncRNA from 13 species
UAAAAAGUGGCCAAGGACAGUUUUUGUAAUUUUUCUCCAGGGAAGGGUGAAUGCAAGCUGACUUUAUUUUUUAGUGUUGCAUGAGUUGAAAUAGGCCUCUGAGUUGGAUCAGAGUGCAACUGUCAACAGGAGAUGAGUCUGACGACAUGCACAGACAAGCUGAUGCUACUGAAUGCCUCUGGCGGGAUUUUUUCCCCUGGAACUUUUGUCUCCACUCUCCUAAUAAUAAUAAUGGCCAGAACAGUGCAAAUGGAAUGGCAUCAAACACCUGGAAACCAUGUGUUUAAUGUAUUUGAUACCAUUCCACUGAUUCCGCUCCAGUCAUUGUCUGGAGCCCGUUCUCCCCAAUUAAGAGAGCUGUUCCAAUGCACACAUGGGUCCUCGCUACAUAUGAACAGCGCAAUGAGUCAACGGCCAUCCCUCGUCCCUCAUACACAGAAGACCCCCAGGCCAGAGGCAGUGGCAUCAUUCCAGGUUUCAGUUGGAACAUGCUCAAUGUUUGUUUCCAUGGUGGAAAAGAAAAACACUUAA